UACGGGGGGGGCAAGCGUUGUCCGGAAUUAUUGGGCGUAAAGAGCUCGUAGGCGGUCUGUCGCGUCUGCUGUGAAAACUCAGGGCUUAACCCUGAGCUUGCAGUGGGUACGGGCAGACUAGAGUGCGGUAGGGGAGACUGGAAUUCCUGGUGUAGCGGUGAAAUGCGCAGAUAUCAGGAGGAACACCGGUGGCGAAGGCGGGUCUCUGGGCCGUAACUGACGCUGAGGAGCGAAAGCAUGGGGAGCGAACAGG
rnacentral:rRNA from 1 species